GGAAGAAUGAGGAGCCAGGGUGGGGGGAGAGGGGAAAGCACAGAGGCUGGGAAGGGGGAGUCCAGCUUCAUCCCCCCUCUCUGAUCUCUCCCCUUAAUCUUUCUCCUCUCCAACGCCUCUUUCCAGCUCCCCCUGUGUCUCCCUAGCUCUUUCCGUCUCCUCAGGAGAGGGCACUAUGGGACCGGCCUCACCAGAGAGUGCACCCAGUUAAGCACCCCAUGCAGAGCCCCCUGAAGUGUCCAGGCCUUGGAGUAUUGCACUGAAGUGUCCAGAGAAGUGUCCAGUGAUGUCCCAAGAGAAGAAUGAAUUCGAGAAAUUAACUUCAAAGGCACUUUAGGAGAAACAGGCCCCUGUCUAGAAGACACUAAUUGGCACACCAUUGCUACUCCAGUCAUGUCUUUUAUAAACCCAGUAGCAGCCCCACUGAGAGAGGAGGAAGAAGACUGGCAGUGGGAACAACAACAGCACAUAAGUGUUAAAACUUUUAACUCCAGUGGUUCAGAUACCAAACAUUGCCACACAUGAAUGUUACCGCCUACCUGCCAUUGCUCCCCCAGUAAGGGUCCCUGAUCAUCUAAAAAUCAUAGAGUUAUUAAUAAUGUGCAAAUAAGCAAAAUAUCAUCAAUGGAAGUCACCUCCCAUUUGCUCUAGAGAAAGCCCUAAUUCUCCAAAUAGGUGUGUUACUCAAUGCUAAUAUUGGAAAGAAGCGAGCAUUGUUCAAAGAAGCAAGCAUAUUUUGAAGAAUAUAUACUGAGGGCCUGGUCCUGACCCCAUUGAGGUAAACAGCUAUCUUAUUAUUAAAUUAAUAGUAGCAGGAGCAAUUCCUAAUUAUGUAAAAAAUGUAUUUUUGCUAUUGACCAAAACAACUCUCAAUUACACAUUUAUAUUAAAAUUAUUUCAUUUGUAAAAAAGGACAUUUUUCAGGAAAAGUUUAGCAUUUUCUCAAAAAGAAUUACUUUUAGGACCUUUACUCUCUAUAAUGUAAAUAUAUUCUCAGAAUAAGUAUCAUAAAAACCUCUUAGGGAAAGUAGUUAUUGUUCCACAGACAGCAGGCAUAUUAGCCUCCUCAAAAAAUUUAAUAACAGCCCUUUGCAAUUUUUUUCUUUCAAAGUACUACACUUGAAAUCCUGAUUACACUGAAGUCAAUGGGAAUUUUUCCACUGAUUUCAAUGCAGCCAGGAUUUUGCCCCAACUGAUUGGCUCAUGUUACAUAAGACAUACAGAAACAAUAAUUCACUCUGUGGGCUAAGGAAGUCACCAAAAGUGUGGGUAUGGUCAGGAAAAAAUUGGAAACAAAACCUUACUAGAAGGAUCUGCUCAGUAUGUACACAAAAAAUCAUGUCUACUUACUUUUUGGAUGAAUAGUUUUUUACUACUAUUUAGUUUUGUUAGCAUGGCAGAGCCAAUGCAGAGAGACAGACGAGAGAGACAGCUUUUUUUUCUGACUUGGGCAUCAUCAACAAAAUUAACUUAGUUCUGAUUUCAGAAACUCCAUUACUUGUCAUAUGAAGUCAGAAAAGCACGGUUCGAUGUUAAGAUCCCACUUUAAAUAUGUAUGCCUAGGAAUUGCUUUAGAAAAAUCUCUUGGAGUAUUUGUAAAAUGAGAAAAUUUGAUCUGAUAGCCAAAGAAGGGAAAUAAUAAAGAUAGAAACUUACAAUGCUAUUUUUCCAGAGUCACUUUUCAGAGUAGGACCUGACAUCAACAUCUGUGCUUCAACUUCCCUAAUUUAAAAAAUUGGGGAGAAAACACACUCAUAUGUUGUGAGAAUUGAUUAGUUAUUUUUUAUAUAAUUUUUAAAUAUGCUUCAAAUAAACUGUAGCUACCAAUUUUGAUAACACCACCAUAUCAAGCAUAUCCUUUUAUAAUAAUGUUAGCUUCCCACAGUAAACGUAAGAAUAUAUAUUCAGAGUUGCUAUUGCUUUUUCACUGAGAAAUCCCUGUGUUUGAGAAAGAACAAUUUGUAUUAUCUUUUGGGGAAAGUACACAAUUAAGAAUAGAUGAGAAGUAGAGAGCAGCGUUGCACUGCUCUCUAGUGCCAUCUGCUGCUCCAGAAGGAGUAAUACAUGGAGCCUAAUUCUGAUCCCAUUAAAGUCAAUGGUUGUUUAAAUGUUCAUUUGUGUUCAAACAUUAAUGUUUACAGCACAAUUGCCAGGACCAGGAGAGUCUAGCCUGGAGGCAGAAAUCUAAAUCUGAAGCAAUUCAGUACCAUCUCAGUAUGUGUUCGUGAGCAGCAUUUGAACCUGUGAUUUCCAUUGUAGCAGAUGCUAUUGAACAUUCAAGGUUUUCUGCUUGUUCCCAAAGAAAACCCUGGCUUUUUGCUGUGUUUGAUUCAAGAUACUGGAAAACACUGGAAAACAGCAGGCUAAAUUCCUCCCAGAUGAAAUCCUGUUGACUGUAGGGGAAUUAAACCAGGGGUGAAUUUGUCCUGAAGACAGGGGAUGUGAAUCUGGUAGCAGAUGGGUUAUAAUGAAUAACUAAUAAUAAUGAAAUUUAUUUGAAACAGGCAUCAUGGAAAAACUUUGACCUGGUACCAUUAGCAAAACUGCGGUCAAAAGAAGGAGGAAAAUAAUUUUUGCUUAGGAGAGGGUGAUCCAGGCCAAAGUGAGUCAAUUGCAGAACAGAACAAUACUUUGGAGCCUCCACAGCCACUACAAAACACUGCACAAAUCUAAAAUUUAUUAUUAAUAGUAGUAGUAGUACUAUUUGUUAUUCCUUCAUGAGGUGCUAUGUAUCAGUGAAGAGACAUGGAUCUGGAAGCAAAAUUGUGUAACUGUUUCAUACAGAGGUGACACUAAGUAUAUUUUUCAAUAAAUAAAUUGACCAGCCAUCACAAACACAGUAAAUGAUGAAUAAUAAGGAAACCACUAUUGGAUAUUGAUAUGCAUCCUUGUACAGAUUUGCUGAACAUGUACUUUGUGGUUCCAGAAUCACUAAAAAGUGCUACCUUUGCAGAAUGUGACUCUCAGUAGACAUUCCAUGCACUGUGGAUCUGACAUAGGAACAGAGGAAUUGUCAUGCUGAACCAGGCCAAUGUCCAAAUAGUCCAAUAUCCUAGUAACCCGUCUCUGACCGUGGCCAGCACCAGGAUUCAGAAGAAGGUUUAAGAACCUUGCAGUAUGCAUAUAUUGAGUAAUAUGCCCCCCCAUAUUAGGGUUCACCCUGAUCUCUAAUAGAGAUUGGCUUAAGCCCUGAGACAUCUGAUUUAAUAUCCUUUCCACAAACUUUUUAUCAUUAAUGAUGAUAAUCCUGGAUUUUCUUGAGCUCCAUAUAAAUGUCCAAUCCCUUUCUCAAUCUUGUUAAAUUCUUCUCCUCAACGACUUUCUGUGACAAUGAGUUUCACAGUUUAAUUACAUGUUGUCUGAAAAAGUAUUUCCUUUUAUUGGUUUUGAAUUUUCCACCGUUUAAUUUUAUUAAAUGUUCCGUGGUUCUUUUGUUAUGAAACAGGAAGAAUAAAAGUUCUCAGUCUGAUUUCUACCAUUAAUUAUUUUAUAUACUUUUCUCAUAGCUCCUCUUAGUUAUCUCAUAUCUAAGGUAAACAAUGCCAAUAUUUUUUCUCUCCUUUAACUGGAGGCUUUUCCAUGUCCAUGAUCAUUCUUGUCACCCUUCUCAGAACCCCUUUGAUUUCUGCAAUAUCCUUUUAAAUAUGGAGUGAUCAGUACUGCACACAGUAUUCCAGGUGGGGCUGCAUCAUCGAUUUAUAUAAAGGAAUGAUAAUAUUCUCAGCAUUAUUCACCAUCCUAUUCCUUAUAUUGUUUGCUUUUCUGACUGCAGCUAUAUAGAGAGCAGAGGUCUUCAUUGCACUGUCUACAGUGACAUCCAUGUCCCUUUCUUAAAUUAAUAGUUAAUUUAGAACCCUAUGUGGUGUUUGAGUAGUUUAAUUCUUUCCCCUCAAAUGUACAUUAUUUUGCAUUUAUCAACAGUGAAAUUCAUUUUACAUCAUGUUGCCUAUUUGUUUUGUUUGUUUAGGACUUUUUGAAGUUCCUUGCAGCCCUCUCUGCUCCUGAGUAACCUAAAUAACUUUGGGUCCUCUAUAAAUUUUCCUACUUCACUACUCACCCUGCUUCUGAGAUCAUUAAUAAAUAUAUUAAACAACACAGGACCUAGUCUGGAACCUUGAGACACUCAGCAGUUAACCUUUUGUUAUAAUGAAAAUUUACCAUUUAAUUCCACUCUGCUUUCUGUCUUAUAGUCAUUUUUUGUUUCAUGACAAUAUUGUGCCUUUCAUCUAAUGAAGCCUCCUAUGGGAGAACCUUGUCAAAGGCCUUGUUGAAGUCUAAAUAAAUUAUGUAAACCGG